UAAUACAGAGGGUGCAAGCGUUAAUCGGAUUUACUGGGCGUAAAGGGCGCGUAGGCGGUAAGAUGUGUGUGAUGUGAAAGCCCCGGGCUUAACCUGGGAAGAGCAUUGCAAACUAUCUAACUGGAGUAUAUGAGAGGGUGGCGGAAUUUCCGGUGUAGCGGUGAAAUGCGUAGAGAUCGGAAGGAACGUCAAUGGCGAAGGCAGCCACCUGGCAUAAUACUGACGCUGAGGCGCGAAAGCGUGGGGAGCGAACAGGAUUAGAUACCCUGGUAGUCCACGCUGUAAACGAUGAGGACUAAAGGUUGGCAGGGGAACCUGUCAGUCUUGAAGCAAACGCGAUAAGUCUUCCGCCUGGGAAGUACGGCCGCAAGGUUG
rnacentral:rRNA from 1 species